rnacentral:rRNA from 1 species
CUAGGAUUUAGAUACCCUAUUAUAUUCAAACAACAAUAGGUAGUACAAAAAAAGAAAACCAACAUAACGUGGCGGUUAUAACCCAUUAGAGAAACUCGCUUCAUAAUCGACAACCCUCGUUAAUUUUAACUUAAUUACUAAAGCCUUUAUAUCGCCGUUUCAGAAAUAAAAAUUAAUUCCAUUCCUCAACAGGUUACUCUAAAAAAUCAGGUCAAGGUGAAGCCCACAAUUAAGAAGAAGUAAGUUACAUUAAAAACAAUUUAAGAAAGAAUACUAAAAACUAAACAGAAAGAGAAUCUAUAAAUAAAUUUCAAUCAAAAACUAAAAUCGAAAUAUAAAAUUAUAACGCACACAUCGCCCG